rnacentral:rRNA from 1 species
GACGAACGCUGGCGGCGUGCUUAACACAUGCAAGUCGAACGAGAAAGCCGCAAGGCAAGUAAAGUGGCGUACGGGUGAGUAACACGUGGAUGAUCUACCUUUUAGUGGGGAAUACCGUUGGGAAACCGACGACAAUACCGCAUAAUCCCCUUUUUUAAAGAAAAGCGGGGAAAGCCGAAAGGCGCUGAAAGAGGAGUCCGCGGUCGAUUAGGUAGUUGGCAGGGUAAAAGCCUACCAAGCCUGUGAUCGAUAGCCGGCCNGAGAGGGCACACGGCCACACUGGCACUGAAACACGGGCCAGACUCCUACGGGAGGCAGCAGUGGGGAAUCUUGCACAAUGGGGGAAACCCUGAUGCAGCGACGCCGCGUGAGCGAUGAAGCCCUUCGGGUGUAAAGCUCUUUCGUCGGGGAAGAUAAUGACGGGUACCGGAGAAGCAGCUGCGGCUAACUACAU